rfam:Ovis aries breed Texel chromosome 1, whole genome shotgun sequence.
CCCCUGGUGGUUCAGACAGUAAAGUGUCUGCCUACAAUGCAGGAGACCCGGGUUCAAUCCCUGGGUCAGGGUG